AACCUAGCACACCUGCGGUGUGUACCUGCGGAAGGAUCAUUACAGAGUUGCAAGACUCCCUAAACCAUUGUGAACCUACCUUCUACCGUUGCUUCGGCGGGCGGGCCCAGCGCCCCCCCGGCCCCCCGCGGGCGCCCGCCGGAGGAUACCCAAACUCUUGACAUUAGUGGCCUCUCUGAGUAUUCUUUACUGAAUAAGUCAAAACUUUUAACAACGGAUCU
rnacentral:misc_RNA from 1 species